UUUCUUCAGUGGAAGAGAAGGCAGCACCGCACAAAGAAAUGGGUGUAUGGAGCUGCUGACCACUCUGCUGAAGUGAAAGUGGUGACACUGGGGCCAGUGAUUUCUGAAAAUCUCCCAAUUCACUUUGAAGACAAUUUAGGAAUUAAGCUCCUCUGACUGCUCCUUUAACAGCUUAAAAAGCUUUUCUUCUCCUGUUACUUUCUGCAACAGUGGAGGAUUCACAGAUGAUUGUCUUGUUGCAUCAGCUGAGGGUAAUGCAGUCCUUGGAACCUCCAGUUUGCCCUUCCUUUCCCCUUACCAAUAGGCUGCAUCUUUCC